rnacentral:rRNA from 1 species
GAUGAACGCUGGCGGCAUGCCUUAUACAUGCAAGUCGAGCGAACACACGAGGAGCUUGCUCGUCUGGCGUCAUCGGGGGACGGAAUAGUACCACGUGUAUAACCUACCUAUAAGACUCGGAUAACUUCGGGAAACCAUAGCUAAUACCGGAUAAUAUAUUGAACCGCAUUGUUCAAUAGUGAAAGACGGUUUUGCUGUCACUUAUAGAUGGAUCCGCGCCGCAUUAGCUAGUUGGCAAGGUAACGGCUUACCAACGCAACGAUGCGUAGCCGGCCUGAGAGGGUGAACGGCCACACUGGAACUGAGACACGGCCCAGACUCCUACGGGAGGCAGCAGUAGGGAAUCUUCCGCAAAGGGCGAAAGCUUGACGGAGCAACGCCGCGUGAAGGAUGAAGGUCUUCGGAUCGUAAACUGCUGUUGUUCGGAACGAAGCAAUGCUUAUUUAACUAUGAAGGUAAUGACGGUACCGAAAGAAUAAGCCACGGCUAACUACGUG